rnacentral:rRNA from 1 species
UACAGAGGGUGCGAGCGUUGUCCGGAAUCACUGGGCGUAAAGGGCGCGUAGGUGGCGCAACAAGUCAGUGGUGAAAGCUCGACGCUCAACGUCGAGUCGGCCACUGAGACUGUUGGGCUUGAGCACUGUAGAGGCUAAUGGAAUUCCGGGUGUAGCGGUGGAAUGCGUAGAGAUCCGGAAGAACACCGGUGGCGAAGGCGGUUAGCUGGGCAGUUGCUGACACUGAGGCGCGACAGCGUGGGGAGCAGACAGG